rnacentral:lncRNA from 1 species
CAACCUCCAAACUAUUUGUUUAGAUUAUCAACUUAUCAUAAUUUUUUUUCCUUUUAAAUAAAAUUCGUCUCACAGUAUCCCACCAACGAGAACAUUUUGUUUUAUUUUUGAAGUUUUAGAAUCAAGAGUGAAUAGUGGAGUGUAUAUCUAUACCAGACAUGGGUAUGUUGAGUAAUUUUCAGGGGUUAUUCAUUUAUGUCUUUCUAUUUGGUUGUGUAAUAAGGCCCAAUCGGCCUGGGUCCAAACUAAACAAAAACAUGUCAGACCCAACAAAACUAACCUAAGCCCAAUACAGACCUCAGCCCAAAGCUAAAAAACAAAAAAAGAAAACCCUAGCAGCAAUAGCGCCGCAGCCCCCGC